rnacentral:rRNA from 1 species
UACAGAGGGUGCGAGCGUUAAUCGGAAUUACUGGGCGUAAAGCGUGCGUAGACGGUUAUUUAAGUCGGGUGUGAAAGCCCCGGGCUCAACCUGGGAAUUGCAUUCGAGACUGAAUAGCUAGGGUACGGUAGAGGGAAGCGGAAUUUCCGGUGUAGCGGUGAAAUGCGUAGAUAUCGGAAGGAACAUCAGUGGCGAAAGCGGCUUCCUGGCCUGUUCUUGACGCUGAGGCGCGAAAGCUAGGGUAGCAAACGGG